GACCUGGCUGGGUGGUCCGCUUAACGGCGUGUACUGCCUGGCUGGGCCUUACCUCCUGGUGAGCCGGCGUGCCCUUUAUUGGUGUGCGUCGGGGAACCAGGACUUUUACCUUGAGAAAAUUAGAGUGCUCAAAGCAGGCCUAUGCCCGAAUACAUUAGCAUGGAAUAAUAAAAUAGGACGUGCGGUUCUAUUUUGUUGGUUUCUAGGACCGCCGUA
rnacentral:rRNA from 1 species